rnacentral:misc_RNA from 1 species
AGUCGUAACAAGGUUUCCGUAGGUGAACCUGCGGAAGGAUCAUUAACAAAUCCGUUGAGUGAAGGAGUGGUGGUGUGGGUGUAGUAGUGGUAGAUAAUAUCGUACUGUGCUCGCGUCCCUCUCCCUCUCACUUACAUGAACCGGAUCUCCGAGAGGAGGUUCGCCUGCAAACGAUCGUUGGCUGUUGCCUCGGCUGUUUGCAGAAAUAGGCUAUGCUUUGUAUGUCUUAUAACAACAUAAUCAAUCAUAAACAACUUUUAACAAUGGAUCUCUUGGCUCUU